UUCUGAGUUCAAACCCCGCAGACGCAACCAGGGCAUCCUUACAGUUGGAUUUUCACAUAGGUAGUCCACAUGGCCUCUCCAAGUGCUGUCUCAAGAUUGCGUGCAAUGUUGUGAAUCAGAUGGGGAACGUCUUGGGUCUUUCCAGGCCAAAACGCUGGCACCUUGGCCCCAUCAAUAUGCAAACACAGCAGUUUCUCAAGUCUGUUCCUUGUUUGGUUUGACAUCUUCUCGAACUUCAUGAGUAGCAUUGUGGACACCUGUUGCACCCAAUCCUUGUAGGUUUUUAGCAGGCAGGCUUGGUUCACAGAUCAGUCCCUCCUGAUCCUUUUUGUUGCUCUUCCCUAAACUCCCUUCCACUUGUAUGGCACUUACACACUGUCCCAUGCCUUUGGCACCCUGCCCUUCAGGCUCUAUGAAAUGGAACUGGUUUGAGGAUGGAAACUGACAGUUCUCCUUGUACCAUGUGGGUCAUUGUGUUUAGUCUCCCCAUGGGCAUGCAGGAUGUUGCAACUGUUCACCUAGAAGCAGAGUCUGUCAAGGGAAUCCUGGAGGGGGAGAGCUAUUUUGCACCAGAUUAAGAUGAGGGAGGCGGCGGCAGGGGCAGUGUAGGCCAGUGGGUGGAGAACCCUGCCUGCUGGACCACAGAUAAUCCCCCAGGGAAGGGUGACAUAGUGAGGGAUAUUGUGUUUGGGCUGUUGCCUUGUUUUGUGUGAUCUCUACUCUCCGGGGCUUUACAUGAUUAAAUAAAGAAGAGCAUAAAAGUUGGAAGAGUAUCAAAGCAUGUGUGUUUGCUGACUGCUUCACAGCUGGCGCAUUCCUGAGCGAGAGUUCAGCUGUAAACCAGAAGCUUCCCACCUCUUGAGUGGCGUUCUGGGGGAUGGGGUUCAGGGGAGAGGGUCUGAAGGGUCAGCGUUGCACCCAGGGGGGCUAGGUGGCUGGACAGCAGGUUCCAACACUGAGGGAUGUCCGAUAGGUCUGUGUUCUGAGAGAGCACCCAGGGACCCCAAGAUCGGGGCAGUGGCUGGACUCGGUGCUCGCUCGGAUCUGUGACAGAGAGUCGCUGCUUAAACCAGAGAGCUUGCCGGGCAGUGUUUUUGCAAUGCAAUCAGGAUGUGAGAACGCUGUAGCAGAGUUUCAACAGACCCUGCGGUUGCAGUUCUGCUCUGGAUUGUCUGAUAAAUAACACAUGGGGCAAAGUUUACAUUUAACCUGGCGUAGCAUGGAGACGAAAAAUACAGAAAUAAAUCUUGGAAGUGCUUCUCCAAAGCUGAAAAAAUGCUCUAAACCUGCCCCAUCUAGAACAGAAACUGCGGCGUUUGGUGCUUGGGACUUGGCAAAGUGGAGGUUUGGGGGUGGGGGGGCGGAGAUUGCUGCAUGUGACAGCUGACCUGGGAAGCGAUCCAGGUUGGCGGCUCUGCGGGCUCCUGGCUCAGUCCGCUGAAGCGAUAGCACUCAGGCCGUACAGAGGUGGAAGAGGAGGAGAAGAACUGCUUUGGAAAUGUUGCCUAGUAAGACCAUCGGAAUCCAGGGAAAGAUGAAGAGAUGGCAGAGGAGCAAGGAGAACACACGCAUCAAGAAACUUGCCGACAUUGGAAUGAAAGAACUGAGUGUGUGACAUACCUGCCAUGCAGGGCUGAAUACAGAUCCCACUGAAGAGUGCUGGUUCCGUUUUCUAUCAGCGUUGGCAGGAAGGAGACCUCUUCUAGAAGCAGGAGCUUUACUGGCUUCCGAUGGACCUUCUUGAUGUGUUGGGCUCUCUCUGAAAUCAAGUCAGACCGUACGGUGCAAGUUGGCUGAAUUCAGCUGUGUGCAUUGGGAAGCCACCUGAGCAAGCAUGACCUGCCAUUGAGACCACAAGCAAAGGAAUCCACCAUGGUGUGACCUUAAGCAAGACCCUGGCAAGAGGCAGAGCUGCUGAACUGGCAAGAGUUGGCUGGAGCUGGAACCCUGGGUUUUGAGGGGACGCGGGUACCAGAAGAUCAGACUGUUGGUGAGAAUUAAAAAGCCCUGGCAUUAGAGCUCUGGGGCUCCUUCUGGCUAAAGCCUGGAGCUGAAGUGCCAAGCGAUAAGGACAGCAAGAGGACUGUGAAGUAGAGCCCUGGAACAAUGUGCGCAAAGCUGGCCUGAUGUGAGAUUGCAUCUGAAGUCUGAUGGGGGGGUGCUAUGAAACCAGUGGGCCAGAUUCUGGCCUGGGUUACACCAGAGUACAUAUGGAGUAAUGACAACGGUUUUGUCCAGAGGAAUAUCAACGGAAUACCUGGUGGGCAUUAGAUGGUUGUAGUUAUAAACCUUCACAAAAGGUUUGAUCUUGGACCUCUUCGCUAUCUUCUUUUUGCCCAUUGCAGCAGUUACCUUCCGUGGGUA